UACAGGGGGGGCAAGCGUUGUUCGGAAUUACUGGGCGUAAAGGGCUCGUAGGCGGCCAACUAAGUCACACGUGAAAUCCCCAGGCUUAACCUGGGAACUGCGUGUGAUACUGGAUGGCUUGAAUUCGGGAGAGGGAUGCAGAAUUCCAGGUGUAGCGGUGAAAUGCGUAGAUAUCUGGAGGAAUACCGGUGGCGAAGGCGGCAUCCUGGACCGACAUUGACGCUGAGGAGCGAAAGCUAGGGGAUCAAACGGG
rnacentral:rRNA from 1 species